rnacentral:rRNA from 1 species
ACUCAAAGGAAUUGACGGGGGCCCGCACAAGCGGUGGAGUAUGUGGUUUAAUUCGAAGCAACGCGAAGAACCUUACCAGCUCUUGACAUGGAUAUUAAGAAGAUCAGAGAUGAUCUUUGUCGGUUCGGCCGGAUAUCACACAGGUGCUGCAUGGCUGUCGUCAGCUCGUGUCGUGAGAUGUUGGGUUAAGUCCCGCAACGAGCGCAACCCUCAUUGUUAGUUGCCAUCAGGUUUGGCUGGGCACUCUAACGAAACUGCCGGUGAUAAGCCGGAGGAAGGUGGGGAUGACGUCAAGUCCUCAUGGCCCUUAUGGGCUGGGCUACACACGUACUACAAUGGUGGUGACAAAAGGCAGCGACGGGGCAACCCUGAGCUAAUCCUUAAAAGCCAUCUCAGUUCGGAUUGUUCUCUGCAACUCGAGAGCAUGAAGUUGGAAUCGCUAGUAAUCGUGGAUCAGCAUGCCACGGUGAAUACGUUCCCGGGCCUUGUACACACCGCCCGU